CAGAGGGUGCGAGCGUUGUUCGGAAUUACUGGGCGUAAAGCGCGCGCAGGCGGCCCUUUAAGUCUACCCGUGAAAUGCCGGAGCUCAACUCCGUGCACGCCGGGGGAUACUGGAGGGCUGGAGACGAGUAGAGGCAAGCGGAAUUCCGGGUGUAGCGGUGGAAUGCGUAGAGAUCCGGAAGAACACCGGAGGCGAAGGCGGCUUGCUGGGCUUGGUCUGACGCUGAGGCGCGAAAAGCGUGGGGAGCGAACAGGAUUAGAUACCCUGGUACGUCCACGCCGUAAACGAUGGGCACUAGACGCGGGUGGGAUCGACCCCUUCCGUGUCGCAGCUAACGCGCUAAGUGCCCCGCCUGGGGAGUACGGCCGCAAGGCUG
rnacentral:rRNA from 1 species